rnacentral:misc_RNA from 1 species
GAUGAAGAACGCAGCGAAAUGCGAUAAGUAAUGCGAAUUGCAGAAUUCCAGUGAGUCAUCGAAUCUUUGAACGCACAUUGCGCCCUUUGGCAUUCCGAAGGGCAUGCCUGUUCGAGCGUCAUUAUCACCCCUCAAGCCCUCGGCUUGGUGUUGGACGGUUUGGUGGAGGCCCCCUCGGGGGCUCCUGCCCCUCCCAAAGACAAUGACGGCGGCCUCGUUGGACCCCCGGUACACUGAGUUCUUCACGGGACACGUAUCGGACACAUGGGUUUACGGGACACGGUCUGCCUCCCCUCAGGGAGAAUCUUUCUAAGGUUGACCUCGGAUCAGGUAGGGAUACCCGCUGAACUUAAGCAUAUCAAUAAGCGGAGGA